CCCCUCUCACCCAGAGGUCACCUCCUGUGUGCUCUCCUGUCCUAAGGGGGCCUCUGGCCCUGAGACCCCGUCUCUCUCCCUGGGACGCUGCAGGCCAGGCCCCCAGCCCAGCCCCGCCCCUCACCAUCUCUCUCCCCAGAGCCGGGUCACCUGGGUGGAGGCAGUCAGAGGGCUCAUUGAGGCAGGGGACGCAGCUGACCCUCCACAUCCCCAUCUUCCCGUUAGCACCAGGACCGGUCCUCCUCACAAGGCUGCUGAGGGACCCAGUGGAAGUGGACACGGAGCCCAGAGCCAGAAUCCUUUGAACACGUCGAGAAUGAACGAGGAACGUGGAGAGGCGGCUUCUGUGUCGAGGAGCUGGAGACGGAGAAAAGAGAAGGCUGAGUCCCGCGGGGCCCUUAGUGUGGCCCUGCUCUCCAGGGGCCGCUCAUCAGCCAUCCUGGCGAGAGGCGGGCCUCGCCCACAAACGAUGGGCCUUGCGAUUUCCACCCCCACCCCCCGCCCAGCCCCACACCACGAUUUAUGCCUUUUCCAGACAAAACGCUUGUCCGGCAGGCGCCCUCACCAUCCUCACAGCCUCCGGUAGUGACGGUAUUGAUCACGGCCUCCCCCAGAACACAUGCCAACAGAGGACCACUCCCCAUGGGGUGACACACUCAGGGAGCCAGGGACCCCAUGGGCUCCCCCACGGGGCCCCCGGGCUCUGCCGGGCACCUGUGUCCCCUGGGCUCAGCCGGGCACCUGUGUCCCCCGGGCUCUGCCGGGCACCUGUGUCCCCCGGGCUCAGCCGGGCACCUGUGUCCCCCGGGCUCAGCCGGGCACCUGUGUCCCCCGGGCUCAGCCGGGCACCUGUGUCCCCCGGGCUCUGCCGGGCACCUGUGUCACCCGGGCUCAGCCG
ensembl:lncRNA